GUAGGGAAUCUUCCACAAUGGGCGCAAGCCUGAUGGAGCAAUACCGCGUGAGUGAAGAAGGGUUUCGGCUCGUAAAAGCUCUGUUGUUAAAGAAGAACACGUAUGAGAGUAACUGUUCAUACGUUGACGGUAUUUAACCAGAAAGUCACGGCUAACUACGUGGCAG
rnacentral:rRNA from 1 species